CCGAUCCCCGCCCUCCCGGCCCCCGUCACCGCCUGACUCCCAUCUUCCUGGCGCCUCAGUCUUCCCCUCUGAGGAGCGGGCGCCCGGCCCGAGCAGGCCCAGCAUCUCCGACGCCGCUACCGCGCUCGUUGCUCGGCCUCCCUCCCGCGUUCCGUGAGCCCCUGCCCUGGAAGGGGCUGGCGCGGGCACAGCCCCGGACUCCGGGGGUCAUCACUGCCCAGACGGAGGGAGCACGGCCGCCGCAGGAGAAGGCACCGGCUGUGCCUGCCGAAUGGCGGGCAGGCUUCUUGGAGGAGAAACCUUCAAGCUGAGGGAUGAGUAGUGGCUCUUGUGCCCCGGGAGUGACGGGGGUUGGGAGAGCCUUGAACGCCACCGCCCUGAGCUGAGAGGAGGUGGCCUCUGCCUUGUGCACAGUGACCCUGGUGCCCAGUGACCGGGAGAAGUGAAAGACGUUUAAAGUGUAUCUUGUUGAUAAGACAGUGAAGACCUUUGGACUUGAGGGUGUGAGGGCCCCGCAGGUGUAGCAGUCACCUUGGCCAGGCGGGGUCGGGGUGAGGAGAGGAGAUGACUCUGGCCGCCAUCCGAGCAGGAAGGGCGAGGCCCUCGGGGCUGAGAGGUUGGACCCGACUGGAGAGGCAUUUCCUGGCAGGAAGCCACAGCCUGAGAUGGGGGCGAUUGGGGUGCAGGUCGGGCGCAGUCAAGGGCGGCUCUAGUGCCAGGAUUAGGUGCCUCGGCUGCUGCGGAGGGGUUCCAUUAAUGGGCCUUAGACCAACCUGGGUCUUGGUUUUCAUAGAAUAGUACUCUUUAAUAAAGGUCAGUCAUGAAUGAAAUGGGAUUUGUUUUGUUGCUUUGAGUAUUUCUCAUUGAACUGUGUCUGCAGAUCAAAAAUAGGCCAAGCUUUGCGCAGUGCAGUCCGGUAGCCAAUGAAGUUUAUCUGAGGGGCGAUUAUUGCUAAUUGAAGAAGAAAAAUAUACCAGACUAUGAGGCUACCUAAUCUUGGGCGAUCAAGAUAGACCCUUAGCCCUCGCCGGUUUGGCUCAGUGGAUAGAGCGUCGCCUGUGGAUCAAAGGGUCUCGGGUUCGAUUCUGGUCAAGGGCAUGUACCUGGGUUGCAGGCUCCUCCCCAGCCCGCACCCUGGUCAGAGCAAGUGCAGGAGGCAACCAAUCAUGUGUUUCCCUCACAUCGAUGUUUCUCUCUGUCUUUCCCUCUCUCUUCCACUUUUCCCCUAAAAAUCAAUGGGAAAAUAUCCUGGGGUGAGGAUUUUAAAUAAAUAAAUAAAAAUAAGAUACAGGCUCUUCCAGUGGGAAAUAGGUGCUGAGAAAAGCCUGGGGACAGGCGAAGCACGCUUUUGUCUUUCAGCUCCGUACCUUGGAAGAAAUCAAGCAGGCCACAAGACAGCAGAAAUUCAUAGCCCAGAACAUCCUGGCCAGGAGGAACUUCAAGUCAGAUGUACCCAUUUUAUAAGUAAGGAAGUAACCUCCA